UGAGGAAUUCUUCAGAAUCCCGGAUAAAGACCUUCUUGAUGUCUUCAGGGCAGCAAUGGACCGAUUUACACCAAAGCUCUUGAAAGUAUACAGAGCUCGAAAAGCUGCAUUUGGAGAGGAUAUGGAACAGCUUCUAGAAAGACUUGAUGAAAGGAUGACCGAUAUUGUUAAUCACAGAAGGACUACUGCUUUGAAAGGCCUGCCUUUGUUUCUUUGAGAGGACCCAAACAAGCUGUUCAAGACAUGCAAAGACAACGAAGAUGGGGCAAAAGGAGUGUCUAUUGCCAUUCUGUGUGUUUUGGAAGAUGAGACCCAGGGACCAUCACCAGAGGUUGUAAACAUUGCUGUUGUGUUGGAGCAGGUCGUCGUUUUGAAAGAUCUCCCAGAUAUUUCUACUGCUCUUGCAUACCUUUUUGGCCUUCUGUAUGCAUUAAACAUGUCCUAUCCUCAAGUUCUUAAGUACACUUUUGACACCAUUCAGAAUGUUUUCAUGGAGCUGGGAUCUGGAUGCACCAAACGUGUACUUUCUCUGAAGAACAAACUGUUGUAAAGAAAAUCAGAACCGUGUUUUUGGAUUCUUUUUGAUGUUCAUUUGUUUUAAGACCUAAAGUUCGCUUGGAUACAAGGUCUGGGGAUUCUUAGUUGGCAUCUCUAUUUCUUGUUACAGAUGUCAAACUGUUCAAAAUGCACCAAACGUGUGCUUUCUCUGAAGAACAAACUGUUGUAAAGAAAAUCAGAACAGUGUUUUGGGAUCCUUUUUGGGAUUCAUUUGUUAAUAGACCUAAAGUGCAGCUUGGAUACAACGUGAUUCUUUUAGGUGACAUCUAUUUUGCUUGUCAUAAGAUGCAUAAGACUGUUCUUAAAGAGUAACUAAACCCUAAACCAACUUUUUUAGUAAAUGAUCUGU